rnacentral:lncRNA from 10 species
UCCACCAGGGAGACAAGUUUAAGCUUAAUUACUGUCUGAUAGAGUUAAACCCCUUGGACAGGGAAGGGGAAGGCUGGGGCAGCCCACAGUGGCUGGGAACCAGCCAGCCAGCUGUGCAGGACCCCUGGGCCAUGGGUCCCCACCCCAGCAGGGAGCGGGGAGCGGAAGGAGCUGCUGCUUACCGGUGGGCCCCAAAAAAGGAAGGAAAAGGCCAUGAAAAGGCCAGGGAGCUACGCGGGGUGGAGGCGUGGCUUCCCCCACACUCAGAAGUCUGAAGAUUAAAAGGCUGAGAAGCAACAGUGAGAAGCUUUGAGUCCCCAUUUCACUCAGGGCUUCUGGAGCCUCCACUUUGCUGCAACAAUGUUGCACGACUUUUCCUUAGUUCAUCUAAAGAUGGGGUUCUUGUCCAUCUCAUGGCCAUGAAAAUUCAGGCUCGCAGACCAGUUUAAAGGAUGAGUAAAGAAGAGUUUUACUGGGUGAAAAGGAUAAAAAAAAAAAAAAAAAAGAGGGAAACAGGUACUCUCUCAAGGCCAGAGUCCCUCCCCUAGACCACUUCCGGCCAGAGGGUUAGAAUCCCACGUUCCACAUAGGAAGAGGAGGUGCCAGGCUCAGGCUCCUCCCUGCUGCAAACGUCAUGACCUUCCCUAGGUUCGACCUCAGUGGGCAAGCUGGUUGGAGUUUCUCCACGGACCCUCUCCCACAGGCUGUCUCAGAAGUUUUGGAGGCUAGAAGUAAAGAAGUCAAGGUGUUGUAAGGGGAGUGCUGUCACUAAAACAGGUUAUUUGAUAAUUAUCAAGCACUGUUCCAAGAAUGAGGAUUUCAGUAUUAGGAAUUCAGGAGCAGUUUGGUUUGACAGUUCUGAUUCUAGGAUUUUCAUGAGGUUGGCGUCAGAUCUCAGCUGGAGCUGCAGGCAUCUGAUGGUUUGAAGUUGGAGGAUCCAUCCCCAAGUAAUGAAAUUUGUGAGGUUGGCUGACUUAUGGCUCGUGGAAUUGGUUUUGUGGAAUUCUCUCUUCUAACAGGAAUCAUCAUUUGAAGGUGG